rnacentral:tRNA from 1 species
AAAAAUUUAGUUAAAAAAUAACCUUAGUUUGUCAAACUAAAAUUAUUAUUAUAAAAUAAUAAUUUUUA